GGUUAAGGUUAUAGGGUUAGAUUUAACCCCAAGCCAAAGCCUAACAUAUUUCAUGAUAUUCCUGUACAUUUAUGAACAUAACAUAUCAAUAUAAACAAAAAUUUUAAGCCUGGCAAGGUUUUACUUGUCUGCCUAUAGUCUGGAUACUAGCUGCGCGCUGCGUUUAUCCAUGCACAGACACCUAAGCAGUACAUUUACACAAGGAGAAGAACAUUGGCACGAACAGACCGCAAAUAGCUAGUGGGUCUCAGUACGUGUUACCAGAGUGAAAAAAUAAUGUUCACUCUUUUUUAUUUUAUGUAGUAGCCUUGUAUUUGAAACAAAAUAAAUUGCUCCAGCGAAUGUCAACAUUUCUGAUAUUCAUGACAUCAUGUAGGCUGCAACUCUUACUGAAACCCACUAAUAACCGAACCGAGUGCAUGCAAAGAACCACGUGACCGGAAG